rnacentral:rRNA from 1 species
AGAGUUUGAUCCUGGCUCAGAUUGAACGCUGGCGGCAGGCCUAACACAUGCAAGUCGAGCGGAAACGAGUUAUCUGGACCUAAGGGGAACGACAACGGCGUCGAGCGGCGGACGGGUGAGUAAUGCCUAGGAAAUUGCCCUGAUGUGGGGGAUAACCAUUGGAAACGAUGGCUAAUACCGCAUAAUGCCUACGGGCCAAAGAGGGGGACCUUCGGGCCUCUCGCGUCAGGAUAUGCCUAGGUGGGAUUAGCUAGUUGGUGAGGUAAUGGCUCACCAAGGCGACGAUCCCUAGCUGGUCUGAGAGGAUGAUCAGCCACACUGGAACUGAGACACGGUCCAGACUCCUACGGGAGGCAGCAGUGGGGAAUAUUGCACAAUGGGCGCAAGCCUGAGGCAGCCAU